CCUCUCAGGGGUGCCCCAGUGAGUGGAGGAGCUGCACGGCUUUGCUGGCAGCCUCCUCUUUCCCUGCGCGCCCACCAGCUGCGCCCCACCAACCAUAAGGCUGGCGGGUGUGCAGCUUCCCUCCCAAGCCUCUGCGGGGAUCACUGUCCCGCAACAGCAUGGGGGAGAGUUGUGUCCCCCAGUGGCUGGCAGUGAGCAGCUACGGGCACCCCAACACUAUCCAUGGUAAUUUGGGGGCACUGGGUGGAUAUUUGCACCCCAGCGCUGCAUCUGCUAAAGACGGCCCUGGUUUCACCCAUAGUUUCCUUUAAAGUCACACUGCGUUGUGUACCUUCAAAGACCAUUUUUAUACAUGCAUAUUUCUCCUAUUGGUCCCCCCCCCCCCCCAGUUUCUCAUUUUUCCAUACUUAACUUCAGUUCUCCACAUUUCCAUACCAGUUUGUGAUUCAAGCUCCAUCCCCAAGUCCCCAGGGAAAUUCUUCAGUAUUUUAGCGUGAAUUUCUUCUAAGACACAUCUUUGUGUGCAAUUUUGCCUAAAACACACAAUUUUGCAAAAGAGUUUUCUCUAAUACGAUGCAUGUUUCCACAUCAUUUUCACUAAUAUGUACCUUUUGGGGGCACACUUGGCCCUUGUCCAUGUAUGCAUUACUUGGCUGGAGAGAACUGCAUUGCUAAAUUUGGAGAGGUGAAAUUUUGAAGGAUGGCUACACCUCAAUUUUCACAUUGUUUCAGAAAGCAUGAAUGAGGUAGCUUUGCCUUUAAAUCAGAACUGCAUCAAACUUCUCCCCACACCCCAACCCUACUUGAAGGUGCAGGACAUAUAUCUGAGGAUCUGGUGUGGGGUAACAGAGGUGUGCUUUUAGUGUAUAGUUUUUGUGGUAAAGAAGAUGCACCCUGGCCUUUGAUACCAUAUAUACAUAAGGUAUAUAGAAUAGAAUAGAAUAGAAUAGAAUAGAAUAGAAUAGAAUAGAAUAGAAUAGAACUCCCUCUAUUCUAUUGGUUGAAAAUUGUUCUAACUAACCUGCCUUCAAAAUAUUAUGGUGAAGGGUAGGUUAAAAAUACAUAAUCAUGGUCAUCUGCUGUUGUGUAGAAGAGCCUCCUGUUUGCCUCCGUUUAUGCUCUGCUUUCAAAUUUAUAGAUAAAACCAAUGUUAACAGAGUCCCAAAGUACCUGCAAAAAGAGGUUUUGUUUGGAAGAAUGGAUUGGCACUGAAUUUAUAGCAGAAAGUCAACAUCUUGAGCGUAGAAGAAUUGUGUGGAAAUGUCAGUUGGGGGUGGGGGGGUUUAUUGUUUUGUUUUGCUUUUGUUCUUGUUUUUAGUAUGCAUUUUGUGUUUUUAUCUUGUUUUUUAUGCUAUGAACCAUCCUGAGAUCUACAGAUGAAGAGCAGAGUACAGAUUUAAUAAAUCCUCCUCAUCAUAAUGGGGAGAUGCUGGGUGAAGGUUAGCAAUAUAUUAUGGCUUAUAGCAAAAGCUGCUGUUCUGCUCAUGCAGCCGACUUCCAUCUACUCUCCUCUUCUCUCCUCUGUAGCACACUCAGAAUCUUCACCUGUCAGGGCCUGGGCAGAGGAGGAAUGGUAGAGACCGCCUCCCCAUCCUAACCCUUCCAGGGAGGAGGAAAAGGAAGACAGUACAGAUUUACAACAGGGGUUUGAGGGAGGUCACAGCUCAGAGGCAGAUGAGGGGAAAAGUUGGGAAAUCAUGGGAGGGCCAGAGCAGCUGACUGACACGUUGUCAUUAGAAAGCAUUCCAGACCCACCAUCUCCCAGAACCCAGCAAGCCUUAAAAGCUGGAGAGCAAAGAGCUUGAAGACAGAGGGCGGUUAGUGGCAUCCGUAGAGGAGGUGGUGAUGAUGAUGACGAAUGAGGAAAUGGGAGAGAAGGGGGAUGGAGAUUCACUCGGGACAACACCAUUAUCCCAAGAGGCUGGGUUCUAUAGCCUCUCUCUGUAAAGUUUGAAAUAAAAAAGGACUGUAAGAAACUUUUCCUUGUCUUUAUAUUUUCCUGGGCAACCAGCCAGGAGCCGCUGACUUCAUCCUGACAUCACCAGAGGGUUGGAGGACCCUCCAGAACAGAUUUUUGGGGAAUGUGAGGGAAGAGGAGAGGAAAGGAAGGAGAAGUCCUGUUGCGUGAGCAGAAGUCUAUUUGUGCAACAAUCCUAGGUGUAAGAACAUUUACUGUUUGUCGCAGGCAGCCAUAAACUCAUUAACUAAAAUGUAUAUUGUGUAAAAAUGAAACAAAAACACAUAGAGAACAUAAUUUAUUUUAUUUUAGUGUCUCUGGACUCAGCUACACAGCUGCAAAUAAAACAUUUUAAAAUGUGUUGUAAAGUGCAAUAUACAAAUGUGACACUAGAUGGCGACAGUGAGCUAUGCAAAAUUCAAUGCAUUUUUCAAAACUUUUUUUAAAAAAGCAUUUUCACAGCAUUUUUAAUAUGUGUGUAGAUUCCACCUCUGAGAUUCGAAAGUAUUAUAUUCUCUACAUAUAUCAGCAAUUGAAAUCCUGGUUUGGGGCACUUAAAUCCCAUAGAUUUCAAUGCCCCGAAAUCAAACAAACAGGUUACCAGAUGGUGCUAACGGAAGCUUCCUUCCUGUACAAAUCCUGCUCACCAGGAUGACCACCGGAGGUUUUCACUUGGGUCUACUCUCUUAAGAAGGGCCCACCUAUUAAGAAGGGCCCAACAUAUUUAAAAACCAUGGCACUGCUGUUGUGCAUUCUUCACCCACCCUCCUCAGCUUUUUCCUACUAAUUUCAGAGUUCAUAUGUUAUGGUUGAUUGGAUGUUUUUAUGUAUUAUGACCUUGCUAUGGAUGUAUCGGUUGCUGUAUUCGGGGCCAGGGAAGAAUUUUAUGUCCAUAUUGUCUGGUCCAGAGUUUUUCGCCUACCUUAUAGCAAUCGUCACAGCUUUGGCAGAUAAGGCACUGGGUAGAAUGCAUAGUAAGGAAUGGGGGGGGGGCAGGGAGUUGUAGGGCACUGCUUUCCUCUCCUAAGAAGUCCAGAUCCAAGGGAGGUGUGUCUUUCCAUAAACCCAGAUUGGGACUGAGGGCCAUAGCACCCCCCUCCCCAGUGGCAACUCUGAUGAGCUGUUCCUACUUGAUAUAUUUCAUCCUAUCUGGGACUGGCAGUCAGCAGGUGGGCUGCUUGAUUUGAAAAUCACCCAGUGCCUAAGCCAAAGCACUUACAUCUGUAAUCAAUACAGUUUUGGACAGUUUCAACCCAAAAAUGUAGUACCAUGUCUCUGUGAUUAUACCCAUUAGGCACCCGGGUGGCAGGCUCACUGCACUUGAGGACACAAGUAGCAGCUUCAGGGAGG
rnacentral:lncRNA from 1 species